rnacentral:rRNA from 1 species
AGAGUUUGAUCAUGGCUCAGAACGAACGCUGGCGGCAGGCUUAACACAUGCAAGUCGAAGGAGAAGCAGGGCUUCGGCCCUGUGGACACUGGCGGACGGGUGAGUAACGCGUGGGAACCUGCCCUGGGGUGGGGGACAACCGCUGGAAACGGCGGCUAAUACCGCAUACGCCCUUAUUGUUUAUGCAAUUUGGGGAAAGCUUUAUGCGCCCUGGGAUGGUCCCGCGUCGGAUUAGCUUGUUGGUAGGGUAACGGCCUACCAAGGCGACGAUCCGUAGCUGGUCUGAGAGGAUGAUCAGCCACACUGGAACUGAGACACGGUCCAGACUCCUACGGGAGGCAGCAGUGGGGAAUAUUGGACAAUGGGGGCAACCCUGAUCCAGCCAUGCCGCGUGGGUGAAGAAGGCCUUAGGGUUGUAAAACCCUUUCAGCGGGGAAGAUGAUGACGGUACCCGCAGAAGAAGCCCCGGCUAACUCCGUGCCAGCAGCCGCGGUAAUACGGAGGGGGCUAGCGUUGUUCGGAAUUACUGGGCGUAAAGGGCGUGUAGGCGGCUUGUCGAGUCAGGCGUGAAAGCCCCGGGCUUAACCUGGGAACUGCGUUUGAUACUGGCAGGCUAGAGGUUGGAAGAAGAGAGUGGAAUUCCCAGUGUAGAGGU